AUGCAAGUCGAACGGAGAUUACAGGCGGAAGUUUUCGGAUGGAAGCUUGUAAACUUAGUGGCGGACGGGUGAGUAACACGUGAGCAACCUGCCUAUCAGAGGGGGAUAACGAUUGGAAACGAUCGCUAAUACCGCAUGACAUAGCGGAACCGCAUGGUUCUGUUAUCAAAGAUUUUAUCGCUGAUAGAUGGGCUCGCGUCCGAUUAGAUAGUUGGUGGGGUAACGGCCUACCAAGUCGACGAUCGGUAGCCGGACUGAGAGGUCGAACGGCCACAUUGGGACUGAGACACGGCCCAGACUCCUACGGGAGGCAGCAGUGGGGGAUAUUGCACAAUGGGGGAAACCCUGAUGCAGCGACGCCGCGUGAGGGAAGACGGUCCUCUGGAUUGUAAACCUCUGUCUUCGGGGACGAAACGAGACGGUACCCGAGGAGGAAGCCACGGCUAACUACGUGCCAGCAGCCGCGGUAAUACGUAGGUGGCAAGCGUUGUCCGGAAUUACUGGGUGUAAAGGGAGCGUAGGCGGGCAGGCAAGUCAGGCGUGAAAUAUAUCGGCUCAACCGGUAACGGCGCUUGAAACUGCAGGUCUUGAGUGAAGUAGAGGUUGGCGGAAUUCCCGGUGUAGCGGUGGAAUGCGUAGAUAUCGGGAGGAACACCAGUGGCGAAGGCGACCUACUGGGCACCAACUGACGCUGAGGCUCGAAAGCAUGGGUAGCAAACAGGAUUAGAUACCCUGGUAGUCCAUGCCGUAAACGAUGAUUACUAGGUGUUGGAGGAUUGACCCCUUCA
rnacentral:rRNA from 1 species